CUCGGUAGCCAGCGGGGAUGCACUAGUUCCCAAUGGAUCACUGAAGUUAAGCAAAAUUGAGCGUCGUUGGUAACUUGAUCGGUGACCAUCUGGUCAAUCGCCUGCUGCUGGAU
rnacentral:rRNA from 1 species